rnacentral:rRNA from 1 species
UACGUAGGGACCGAGCGUUGUCCGGAAUCAUUGGGCGUAAAGAGCGUGUAGGCGGCCACUUAAGUCCUGCGUGAAAUCUUGCGGCUCAACCGCAAGCGGUCGUGGGAAACUGGCAGGCUAGAGUGCGGGAGAGGAGAGUGGAAUUCCUGGUGUAGCGGUGAAAUGCGUAGAGAUCAGGAGGAACACCCAUGGCGAAGGCAGCUCUCUGGUCGACCUCUGACGCUGAGACGCGAAAGCGUGGGGAGCGAACGGG